GGUUUUCACCAGAGCCGAAAUCCCCUGGUAGAAAUAGUGCUUUUAUUGGCUCGCUGGACAGAACUUGGCUGGAUGGGAUUGAUUGAUCUCGCAUGACCUACUGUCUUCAAAUAUUGCGGAAAUUAAGGCAAAUUGCUUUCAAAAGUAAAUAUUUUUUUGUUCGUGUUAAUGGAUUUAAAACAAAUAUUUCCUUUGUUGCCUUCUGAUAUUGAGAUAUUG
rnacentral:lncRNA from 1 species